AUUGAACGCUGGCGGCAGGCCUAACACAUGCAAGUCGAGCGAGCGGCGGACGGGUGAGUAAUGUCUGGGAAACUGCCUGAUGGAGGGGGAUAACUACUGGAAACGGUAGCUAAUACCGCAUACCAUCAGAUGUGCCCAGAUGGGAUUAGCUAGUAGGUGGGGUAACGGCUCACCUAGGCGACGAUCCCUGGCUGGUCUGAGUGGAUGACCAGCAACAUGGGAACGGGGACACGGCCAAGACUCCUACGGGGGGCGGCAGUGGGGAAUAUUGCACAAUGGGCGCAAGCCUGAUGAAGCCAUGCGGCGUGGUGGAAGAAGGUUUUCGGGGUGUAAAGCACUUUCUGCGGGGAGGCGGUACCCGCAGAAGAAGCAACGGCUAACUCCGUGCCAGCAGCCGCGGUAAUUC
rnacentral:rRNA from 1 species